ACAGAAAGGACAGAACCUGGAUCCUUUCCUUCAGUCUUUCUUCAACUCCUGCGAGUCUCCGAAAGCAAAACCCAGCCGCCCAGAACUCACCAUCCUGAGCCCGUCCAACGAGAACAAACAAGAAGCUGUUCAACGACCUGUUCAGGAACAACGCCAACCUUUCGGAGAGGAAACACAACCCUAAACUUCUUUGAGGAAACGCUCUCUGUGGACGGCAUGUACGACUACAUGAUGUUCGUCGGCCGCACGGUGUUCGGCACGGCUGAUUGGCUGAACCACGCUCUGGCCGCCGGGCGGAUCCUCUUCAAAAACACCUUGGAGGCGUACAUGGAUCAAUACCUGCAGAGCAAACUGGAGCAAAUCCUGCAGGAGCACAACGUGGUGUCGCUCAUCACUCAGCUGCAGAGACGCUGUUUUCUGUGAGAGCAGCGAGGAGCUGAAGCCGGAGGAGAAACAGAGCCGAGCCAAGAAGACCUUCGAGGCCAUGAUGAAUUAUUUACCAGAUUUUGUGGUGAAGUUCAUCGGUCAGGACUCAAAAUACGAAGGAGUUCGACUUCUGUUCGACGGGUUCCAGCAGCCCGUCCUCAACAAGCAGAUGACGUACGUCCUGCUGGACAUCGCCGUGCAGGAGCUGUUCCCUUGAGCUCAGCAAGGAGUGAACGAGGCGUGUGGAGAGCGGACGUGUGGAUCUGAAAUCCUCUUUACAUUCCAGUGUAUAUAAACCAUUGAAUAAAGAGACAUAUAUUUAUUGAUCUAA